rnacentral:lncRNA from 1 species
CUUUUGCUGCAGAAAAUAGCAAUGCCUUCCACCAACAGCUCGGCAAAGCCCCCCUGGACAUCACUUCAGAGAUCUUGCAGGAGAACUGACAUAGUGACUAUCUCACUUGAAUAUGAAUACAACAGGUUCAAGAAACUGCUUUCAUCAUUCAACCCUCGAUUUGGGUGCUGUUGAAUUUCCCCCAAAGUGUAGUACCACGAGAACUCUGUUUUAAAACUUUUUUCGUUUGAGUGAGGAUGAAACCAAAUGGGAAAUUCCUCAGAGGAUGCAGCAGCUUACCUAAACUGUUAAAACACCAGAUUUAGUUGAAUUAAUUCAGGAAAAGGACCUUUGUAGAGUCCCUUAGGUUCUAUCAUGACACAUUUAAAAAAAGAGAACAUUCUGAUUAUUUAAGAGAGCAUAUGAGUUUCUCUGAGCAUGUGCUGAAGGCUCCCAUGGUUCCCAUGUCCCACCAAGUUCCUCUGAGGCCACACUGCCUGUAAGAUCCUCAUUGCCAAGACAUCUUUUCAGGAGGUAGACUAGCUAUUCUUCUUCUUCUCUAAAUGCAUUUUUCUGGUGGUUAGAUAUUCACACCUGAGCCAGACUUAAACUCUGGCUUAGACUCCUUUUGUAGCCUUCCUUUUUUGGGAAGACAUAAGCCCUUCUCUGUGCAAUUCAUCAGACCUCAACAGUUUAGGCUGAAAUGAGUGACACCUGCCUUCUCUCCACUGAUUAAAAAGGAGGUUGUGUUUGACUAAUCAAUGAAAAUAUCAGUAUUUCAUCUGCCUGAAGUCAAGGAAUCAUGGAAUAAUUUAAGCUAGAAGGUAAUUCUGGAGCUUAUCUGAUCCAACAUCCCAAAGAAGGAUCGGGUUGUUCAGACGCUUAUCCAGUUGAGUGUUGAAAUAUCCACUGUUGGACAUUUCACUACCCCUUCUAGGCAGCACGUUCACUGGGGAAAAAAAAUCUACGUGUACUUGCAUGCAAUCAGAUUUUCACAUAAUAGAACUGCUCCCUUCUGUCUCUUUUCUCUUUCUGGCGUAGUAUGAGAUCCUUUCACUCUGGGUUACCCUGGCUGUCUUUAUAGUCCUCCUUUAGGAAAGUCUGUAAAGGCAGGAGCAAAUCCCAUUCUUGGUUCCUUGGUCACAUCUUUGUAUUGUUUGGAACCUCAGCAGACCCCAAGAUGUUUCAGAUUAAGUAUUCUAUAAUCAGAUGCUGAGAUAUUCCAGGGAAGCUUUCUUUUCCAUCAGAAAUUUUAUAUCCAGCACUAAGGUUGAAGUGGGAAGAUUUAGCCUAGGUUACUAAUUUAUUUUCUAUUUUGGGUUCAUCCUUCCUUUGGUAGCUGAGCUGGAUUUACACCUCUUGGUAUAAUCUGAUGCUGGUACAAGCAUGUGUUUUGCUAUUGGAGGCAUAACAAAAAGCUUGUCCCACAAUCCAGGACAUAGCUCAUUCCUUGUAGAACUUUCAGUCUAUAUAAAGCCCAGUACAACUGAGUGCAAAACAGAUAGAAAGAGCACAUAGGUCACAACUGCAAGGCUAAGUGACAAUACAAUGGACCCUGUGAAUGUACUCAUUGGUUUUAAGUUACCAAUUGUUUUGUUUAGUUCCAUUUCUAUUUUUCUUUUAGCAUAUUUGUGAUCUGCUUGCUGCUUUAAAGAAAAUUAAAAACAAAUAAAAACAAUGCAAAACUCA